rnacentral:rRNA from 1 species
CGUGUAGGCGGCCGAUUAAGUCUGGAGUGAAAGUCCUGCUUUCAAGGUGGGAAUUGCUUUGGAGACUGGUUGGCUUGAGUGCGGAAGAGGUAAGUGGAAUUCCCAGUGUAGCGGUGAAAUGCGUAGAGAUUGGGAGGAACACCAGUGGCGAAGGCGACUUACUGGGCCGUAACUGACGCUGAGGCGCGAAAGCGUGGGGAGCAAACA